rnacentral:rRNA from 1 species
AAUAGAUACCCCGGUAGUCCACGCCGUAAACGAUGAGUGCUAAGUGUUAGAGGGUUUCCGCCCUUUAGUGCUGAAGUUAACGCAUUAAGCACUCCGCCUGGGGAGUACGGCCGCAAGGCUGAAACUCAAAGGAAUUGACGGGGGCCCGCACAAGCGGUGGAGCAUGUGGUUUAAUUCGAAGCAACGCGAAGAACCUUACCAGGUCUUGACAUCCUCUGACAACCCUAGAGAUAGGACUUCUCCUUCGGGAGCAGAGUGACAGGUGGUGCAUGGUUGUCGUCAGCUCGUGUCGUGAGAUGUUGGGUUAAGUCCCGCAACGAGCGCAACCCUUGAUCUUAGUUGCCAUCAUUUAGUUGGGCACUCUAAGGUGACUGCCGGUGACAAACCGGAGGAAGGUGGGGAUGACGUCAAAUCAUCAUGCCCCUUAUGACCUGGGCUACACACGUGCUACAAUGGACGGUACAAAGAGCUGCAAGACCGCGAGGUGGAGCUAAUCUCAUAAAACCGUUCUCAGUUCGGAUUGUAGG